rnacentral:misc_RNA from 1 species
UGUGUUUGUCGUCUGUGUAGCUGUCAAAAGUGUUUGGUCAAAGAAAAGUGGUGUUAUUUUCAUUUAUUUAUUUGUAUUUACAAAAUGAAUGAUAACGAGGACGAAAUUACAACUUUUUGCGAUUCAGCUGCCUCUUUGGUGGAGGGAUGCAGGUUACCAGUUCGAAUGCAAGGCGGUGAUGAUUGGCCACUCGCAGAGAUUAUUAGCAUCAAGGAAGUCCGAGGCCAAAGAGGAUACUAUGUGCAUUAUGUAGAUUUUAAUAAACGCUUAGACGAGUGGGUCGGGGAGUCAUGGUUGGACACAAGAAAAGUACAGUUUCCCAGGAGGGAUGGCAGCGGGCCCACUGGUGGGACUACCACACCGAAGAAGACUCAUAUUGGAUCUGGAGGUGUACCAGGUGAGCCCCGUCAGUUAAUAUCUCGUCCUGCAAGUCCAACCCUCGGCAAUGACUCCUCGUCGCUUGUCAAUGGCGGCGCAGUGCUGGCGGCAGCCUUGCAGAAGAAAAUGAACAGGAAACGGAAAGCUAACUCGUUGGAGAAUGACAACGAGCCACAAGAGUCGCUGGACGGUGGCGACCCCGUGGUCAGUGGCACGGCCACGCCCACGACUCGACCACGUCAGUCCGGCAGCCUGGUCGCCCACGGCCACGACGACCUUGUCACCAGGAUGAAAAACAUUGAGAUGAUUGAACUGGGCAGACAUAGGAUACGGCCGUGGUACUUUGCACCUUAUCCACAGGAAAUGGUUAAUUUAGCCUGCAUAUAUAUUUGCGAGUUCUGUCUGAAAUAUAGAAAAACUAAAAAGUGCUUAGAGAGACAUUUGAUUAAAUGCAAACUAAAACAUCCGCCGGGCAAUGAAAUUUAUCGAAAAGGCAGCAUAUCCUUCUUCGAAAUCGACGGUAGAAAGAACAAAUGCUACGCUCAGAACCUGUGUUUGCUCGCCAAACUGUUUUUGGACCACAAAACAUUGUAUUACGAUACAGACCCUUUUUUAUUUUAUGUGAUGACUGAAUUUGAUUCUAGAGGAUUCCACAUAGUAGGAUAUUUUUCAAAGGAAAAAGAGAGUACGGAGGACUACAACGUAGCGUGUAUAUUGACCCUGCCGCCGUACCAGCGGAAGGGAUACGGGACACUACUCAUAGAAUUUAGUUAUGAACUGUCAAAGUUCGAAGGUAAAACGGGUUCACCGGAAAAGCCAUUGUCGGAUUUGGGUUUGCUUUCGUACAGAAGUUACUGGGCUCAGACGAUAUUGGAGAUACUCAUCAACAUUAAACCCGUGGGGGACAAUGAGAAACCCAUCAUUACUAUCAAUGAAAUAUGCGAGCUGACCAGUAUAAAGAAGGAGGACGUCAUAAGUACAUUACAAAAUUUAAACCUCAUAAAUUACUAUAAGGGACAGUAUAUAGUCUCAGUUAAUCAGGAAACUAUACAACAACACGAAAAAGCGAUGGAGAAGAAAUUAUUGAGGAUCGAUCCAAAAUGUUUACAUUGGACGCCCAAAGAUUGGUCCAAACGAGCAAAAUGCGUUUGAAGUGUAUCGGAGAUGCGAGCUAUGUAACUCGGGCUUCGACACUUUUACACGUAGGACCUUUCAAAUUCACAAGGACGUUACAUCAAAGGACUAUAGAAUGAUCCACAAUACAACGUGUCCAGUUCAUGUCUUCUCAUAGUAAAUGAUAUAGCUAUUUAAUAGUACAUUAUGAUAUAAGUGCGGUAAGUUGAAAAUUACAGCCGAGGCGAUAUUGCAAGCUCGAGCCGAAGGCGAGAGCUAUAGUAAG